CUUGCAUCAUCAACCAAAGAAUCUUCAAAGUGGUUGCAAGUAGUUCCAUCGAGCCAAUUGGGUUUGCUAUUGGAUAACAACUCUGCUAGAAUUGCUGUUGGUCUUCGUUUAGGUUCUGGUUUAUGCGAGGAACAUAAGUGUGUUUGUGGUGGAAUGGUUCAAAAGGAUGGCUUACACGGCUUAUCAUGCAAAAUGAAAAUUAAAAAAAUUGCUGCGCAUGAUGAAGUCAACAAAGUUUUUUCUCAUGCAUUUUCUUCAGCAGGAUUUCCAACCAUGUUACAACCGCCAGCUUUCGAGACUUUAGGCUGUAUGGGACCUGAAACAAAGAAAUUCAUUGAGAAAUUAGGAAAAAUUAUAAAGGCCACUUCAGGGGAACCGCGAUCAAUGGAUUAUUUAUUGCAGAAAAUUUCAAUUGCGAUACAAAGAGGCAACGCUGCGUGUAUUUUGGGGACUUUGGGACCGGAUAGAGUAGAUGAUUUUUAUGUUUUGUAACCUUUGAUUU